GCCCGGGCUCCCGAAUUUCUCUGUGUGGCCCUGAGUGCUAGCUAUGUAUUUUAUACACUUCUCAAAAUUCUAACAAUAACUGCUUUUAAAACUACAUGAAAUUUAUGAAUAUGCAACUAGUGCUAGCUAUAUAUUGUACACGUCUCAAAAUUUUAACACUAACUGCUUUAAAACUACAUGAAAUUUAUGAAUAUACAAAUGUCAAUUUAUGCUAUAUAUAUUGUUAGGCUACUUAAGCCGGUUAAACACGAGCAAGUUUUCUACGACAAGUUUUUAUGUGACAAGUUUUAUUUGCUCGUCUGUACGCGCAACUUUGACAAGUUUUUCUAUGACAAGUGCACUUGUUCAAAAGCUAGCAUGCUAGCUAGAAAAAAAUUGUCAAAGUACAAAUUUUGUUCGUCUGUAUGGGUCAACAAAGAAAACUUGUCAAAGUAAUCUGAGCAUUUGAUGUGAUUGGCCAGCUGGCUACUAAUAAAUUGUCAAAGUAAACGUGUUGACACGUUCACACCAGUAAAUAAAACUUGUCAUAUGAACACUUGUCAUAUAAAAUUUGUUGCAUAUAUACACGUGCACUUGGCAAAUAAAACUUGUCACAUAAAAACUUGUCAUAGAAAACUUGCUCGUCUGAAACCGGUUUUAAUUGUACUACCAGUCCAACGCCUGUCACUCUUGCCCUAAUAUACAAAUGCUAUAUAUACUGUUACUUAAUUGUAUUGCGAUGCAGUUCAUCAUCUGUUACUCUUUGUCUAUAUACAAAUGCUAUAUAUAUUGUUACUUAAUUGUUAUUAUAACCUCACUGUAAAUUUCCAAAUGAAUCAACUGCAAAAGUGGUCACCAAAAACGGUGACGGAAUAACUUUUUUGGAGUUGAUUCAAUUCUUUGAAAUUUCCAGUGUAAACGUGUACGUGCUUUGCUCGCUAAGGUUAGUUUUG
rnacentral:lncRNA from 1 species